CGAAAAGGGCGUUUGGUGGAUGCCUUGGCAGUAAGAGGCGAUGAAAGACGUGAUACUCUGCGAUAAGCCAUGGGGAGCUGAGAAUAAGCUUUGAUCCAUGGAUUUCUGAAUGGGGGAACCCACUUGAUUGUUUGUUAUUGAGAGCUUGCGUUCUCAAUAAUGAGCAAAACCAAGUACUUUUAACCUGAAUACAUAGGGUUUUAAGAGCAAACCCGGGGAACUGAAACAUCUAAGUACCCGGAGGAAAGGAAAUCAAUUAGAGACUCUGUUAGUAGCGGCGAGCGAACGCGGACCAGCCAAGCCUGAUAAGUGACCAGAAUGACCUGGAAAGGUCAGCCAUAGUGGGUGACAGCCCCGUAUGGGAAGCUUUGAAGGAUGUAUUAAGUAGGGCGGGACACGUGAAAUCCUGUUUGAAGAUCGGGGGACCACCCCCGAAGGCUAAGUACUCCUUACUGACCGAUAGCGAACCAGUACCGUGAGGGAAAGGUGAAAAGCACCCCGACGAGGGGAGUGAAACAGUACCUGAAACCGAACGCCUACAAUCAGUCGGAGCACCCAUGCGGUGUGACGGCGUACCUUUUGUAUAAUGGGUC
rnacentral:rRNA from 1 species